rnacentral:rRNA from 1 species
AACGAACGCUGGCGGCGUGCCUAACACAUGCAAGUCGAGCGCGAAAAGGGCAACCUGAGUAGAGCGGCGCACGGGUGCGUAACACGUGGGUAAUCUGCCUUAGAGUCGAGGAUAACCUUCCGAAAGGUUGGCUAAUACUCGAUAAGCUUACGGUGUCUUUGGACGCUGUGGGAAAAGUAGGCCUCUGUUUACAAGCUUACGCUCUGAGAUGAGCCCGCGGCCCAUCAGCUAGUUGGCGGUGUAACGGACCACCAAGGCAACGACGGGUAGCUGGUCUGAGAGAACGAUCAGCCACACUGGAGCUGAGACACGGUCCAGACUCCUACGGGAGGCAGCAGUGGGGAAUUUUCCACAAUGGGCGAAAGCCUGAUGGAGCGACGCCGCGUGUGUGAUGAAGGUUUUCGGAUCGUAAAGCACUUACGACCGGGACGAAAAACCUCUGGCUAACAUCCAGGGGCCUGACGGUACCGGGAGAAGAAGCACCGGCUAACUCUGUGCCAGCCGCCGCCGUAA